AGUUUGAUCCUGGCUCAGGACGAACGCUGGCGGCGUGCUUAACACAUGCAAGUCGAACGGUGAAGCCCUUCGGGGUGGAUCAGUGGCGAACGGGUGAGUAACACGUGGGCAAUCUGCCCUGCACUCUGGGACAAGCCUUGGAAACGAGGUCUAAUACCGGAUAUUACCCCUGGGGGCAUCCCUGGGGGUGGAAAGCUCCGGCGGUGCAGGAUGAGCCCGCGGCCUAUCAGCUUGUUGGUGGGGUGAUGGCCUACCAAGGCGACGACGGGUAGCCGGCCUGAGAGGGCGACCGGCCACACUGGGACUGAGACACGGCCCAGACUCCUACGGGAGGCAGCAGUGGGGAAUAUUGCACAAUGGGCGAAAGCCUGAUGCAGCGACGCCGCGUGAGGGAUGAAGGCCUUCGGGUUGUAAACCUCUUUCAGCAGGGAAGAAGCGCAAGUGACGGUACCUGCAGAAGAAGCACCGGCUAACUACGUGCCAGCAGCCGCGGUAAUACGUAGGGUGCGAGCGUUGUCCGGAAUUAUUGGGCGUAAAGAGCUCGUAGGCGGCUUGUCGCGUCGGAUGUGAAAGCCCGGGGCUUAACCCCGGGUCUGCAUUCGAUACGGGCAGGCUAGAGUGUGGUAGGGGAGAUCGGAAUUCCUGGUGUAGCGGUGAAAUGCGCAGAUAUCAGGAGGAACACCGGUGGCGAAGGCGGAUCUCUGGGCCAUUACUGACGCUGAGGAGCGAAAGCGUGGGGAGCGAACAGGAUUAGAUACCCUGGUAGUCCACGCCGUAAACGUUGGGCACUAGGUGUGGGUCACAUUCCACGUGGUCCGCGCCGCAGCUAACGCAUUAAGUGCCCCGCCUGGGGAGUACGGCCGCAAGGCUAAAACUCAAAGGAAUUGACGG
rnacentral:rRNA from 1 species